CCUACGGGUGGCAGCAGUGGGGAAUAUUGGACAAUGGGCGAAAGCCUGAUCCAGCCAUGCCGCGUGUGUGAAGAAGGCCUUCGGGUUGUAAAGCACUUUCAGUGGGGAAGAAAGCCUUGGGGCUAAUACCCUCGAGGAAGGACAUCACCCACAGAAGAAGCACCGGCUAACUCCGUGCCAGCAGCCGCGGUAAUACGGAGGGUGCGAGCGUUAAUCGGAAUUACUGGGCGUAAAGCGCGCGUAGGCGGUCUGAUAAGCCGGUUGUGAAAGCCCCGGGCUCAACCUGGGAACGGCAUCCGGAACUGUCAGGCUAGAGUGCAGGAGAGGAAGGUAGAAUUCCCGGUGUAGCGGUGAAAUGCGUAGAGAGCGGGAGGAAUACCAGUGGCGAAGGCGGUCUUCUGGACUGACACUGACGCUGAGGUGCGAAAGCGUGGGUAGCAAACAGGAUUAGAUACCCGAGUAGUC
rnacentral:rRNA from 1 species